CAGUGCCGCGGUAAUACGUAGGGUGCAAGCGUUAAUCGGAAUUACUGGGCGUAAAGCGUGCGCAGGCGGUGUUGUAAGACUGAUGUGAAAUCCCCGGGCUCAACCUGGGAACUGCAUUGGUGACUGCAACGCUGGAGUGCGGCAGAGGGGGAUGGAAUUCCGCGUGUAGCAGUGAAAUGCGUAGAUAUGCGGAGGAACACCGAUGGCGAAGGCAAUCCCCUGGGCCUGCACUGACGCUCAUGCACGAAAGCGUGGGGAGCAAACAGGAUUAGAUACCCCCGUAGUCCCUGUCUCUUAUACA
rnacentral:rRNA from 1 species